rnacentral:lncRNA from 1 species
CUGUGUUUCAAGUGAUCUCAAGCUGCUCCGUGACACAAGAAAAUUUCUCAUAGCACCAGUAUUCUCUCAGUGCCACUAUACAGUUGUUAAUCAUGGGAUGCCAAGAUCUCUAAAGCACUGAAAUUACAGGGUACAUGGAGAACGAUCACUGGAGGAAAGAGUAAGCUGAUUGGAACAGACAUUAAAACACUUGAUCCAAAGGCUCUCUGACUACAUGAAACACGACAGUUUCCCGUUCAGUAUUGGAGAGGGUCAUCUGUCCUGACGAAGUGAUGACUUUUAACGAUGGCUUUGGAAAAUCCUUUUAAAAUGUCUCCAGGUCAAUCUCUCCAAUGCUGCAAAUGGUCAGUUCCUGGUUUUUUUCCCA